AAGCUCUCUUCCAGCUUGCAGUGGGGAAGGUGCUCAUGGAAACUCUCAGAGAUUUGUUCUCUCAGUACUUUAUCCAGGAGUAACCACAGCAAGAGCAGAUUUCAAGAAUCAUCUCUUUGGAGGAAGAGAGAAUCUGAAGCCAUGAGAACUUUAGAAAAGUCUGAGGGACAGAUACCGAAACCUUUGCUCCCAUUACACAGCACUGGAUUUUACAUGUGAUCUCAUUGCUUCUGCUAGAAAGGAGAUCUCACUUCUGGCAGCAUAUAUGUUUAGUGAACUCAUCCAGCAAGAGGAGCAGAACUGGUCCCUAAGCUGGAUGCACUCUCAUUAUUGCCAUGUAUGUUCACUACUCACCAAGAACUAGAAGGUACUGUAACCUGUUUAUCUUACCAACCAUCUCCAACAUUCAGAAAAUCCAGAGAAAUGUUCCAAGGAAUGGGUACUUUGUUUUAAAACCUAACAGUAUAAAAAGUUGUUAAAAGGCAUAGUUCUCUUUACAUACUUCCCCAUUGUAUUAGCGCAGAUACCAGUUGAUCAACAUGGAGCUUAAGCAAACUCAAACUUUUAUGCAAAUUUUCAAACAAGGUUUUGAUACUCUUUCUACAAGGAGCUAUAUUAUUCACUCUAGGACCUUGCUAAAUCCAGUAUUUAAACUUGGUCAUGCUAUAUAAACAUGAUAUGAGAGAAAGUAAUUACUUAUUAUAAUGUAGUCUAGAUAAAAUUAGACACUGAUCCUUGAGUAUCUGUCUAGCAUAGGUCAUUAAUUUUUAAGAACUGUUUUCAGCUUGAUGUUGGAUAGCAGUAAGAAGAAAAUGUCAUUUCCAGAACAACUACUACAAGUGUAAGAACGUAUAUUUGAUACUUACAGAGUUUUAUAACUUUUAGAGGUAAAUGUUACAUAUACCCCGAAACAGUCCCAGAAAACAAGAAGCUAUAUUGCUGCUUUUUCAUUCAAGAAACUAGAAGCACAAUGAUUCUAAAUUGCUUACCUCUAUAAAUGAAAGAGGCACAAGAAAUACGUGCUAUUUCCAAAAUUCCUUGGAGAGAAAAAUACUGUUUAGUUGAAGAAAAACUUUUUCUAAAAAUUUGACAAUUGUUGAUAGUUCUACCAUUUGGAAAGACUAAAGCCUGUGGUACUGUACAAUAGCAAUCAGCUAGAAUGUCUGCCUAGAAAGUGAGAAAGGAGCUCAAAAAUGUAUUCCUGCCCAGAUUUCCAUGAUUAUAAGGUAGCAGGGUCAUUUAUUGCAGAUACCAAUCUAUUCUCUUUAAAGGGAAUUGGUUUUAGUAACAUCAAGAAUGGGGAAUUUUGCUUUCUUUAGUCAUCCACCAUUAACGUUGGUUGUAACUCUAGAGUAGUCAAAUGCCUGCGAUAGCUUGUGGAAAAUGCCAUGGCUUCUCAUUGUGAAAUAAAAUUAUAAUUUUAAUAAUAAAAGGACAGAAAAUAAACAAACAAACAAACAAAAUAGAAACUUUUGCAAUUACAGCCAGGGACUGCCCAAAGGCAUACUAGCCCAGGACGAAAUUUUGGGUUCAUAUCUACUUACUUGAUUGAAGAAUUUUGGUAAGGAAAUGUCAAAUGGAAACAUCCCCAAAGAAGUGUUUCUUUCCAAAGAAGAAAUCCACAUGGUCUGAAGGGAAUUAAUUUAUAAAUAUCUGGAAAGUAUCCUCACAACAAUGCUGGCUAAGAGAUAUAAAGUGCUAGGAAAUCAGUAAUGCAGGAACUAGGAACAGUUCAAGACACCCAAGAACAGAGGGAGCUGAGAAGAUCCACGGAAAGUCACUUUAUCUACAGUACAAUCUGUGAAAAUAUUUUUCUGCUUGUAUCACUCUUUCUUGUUCUCAUUCCAUCCAGUCAGUGAAGACUCCAAGGCUUACAUUUUUGCUUACAUUUAUAUUGUGGAAGCCAAGAACACUUACAGUGACUGGGGCUAAGGUAAGCCACUGUGAAAAGACUUAGGUAUGUGCAUGUACUCUAUUUCAUUCUGGGUGAAAAAGGCAAAUCCUUCUUUGUGUGCCAAUGUGCAACUGUGCUGCAUUCUAGUGGAACAUUCUAAAGGUUAUUUCAAAAUAGAAUUGAUAUAACAAUCCAAAGUGGGUCAUUCUGUACCAGUAACAAACAAGCAUAAGGAUAUCUCACAUUUAAUGCACAAAAACAAACAAACAAACAAACAAAAAAAAACAAAAAAAACAAACCAAACCUCUUCAGUAUUACUUUUUUCAUACACCAUGUAUUUUCAGGUGUACUGUGCCCUGAAGAGAGUUCCUCUGAAGAGAUUCAGACAGAAAAGCUGACAGACAAGCAGACAGACAAGCACCUAGAAAUUAAAGAAUGAGAUGUUACAUUGCUCCCAGCCUUGGUAUUGAAAAGCUGUCUAUAUUAUUUAUGUGUUCAGCUAUAUUUUCUAUGAUCGGUCAAAUAAAU
ensembl:lncRNA